UACGGGGGGGGCAAGCGUUGUUCGGAAUUACUGGGCGUAAAGCGCGCGCAGGCGGUUUUUCAAGUCAGUGGUGAAAGCCCGGAGCUCAACUCCGGAAAUGCCAUUGAAACUGCAAAACUUGAGGACGAGAGAGGUGAGUGGAAUUCCCAGUGUAGAGGUGAAAUUCGUAGAUAUUGGGAAGAACACCGGUGGCGAAGGCGGCUCACUGGCUCGUUUCUGACGCUCAGGCGCGAUAGCGUGGGGAUCAAACAGG
rnacentral:rRNA from 1 species